ACAGCCAAUAGUUCUUGUUAGCACCAAAUUAUUAUUUUUUUCCAUUUGACUGAAAAACAAAGAUUUGUAUUGCUAAGGUCAUCACUGGUGGUGGUUGGAGUUGGGGAGAGGGUUGAUGGCUAUAGGGAUUGAACCAGGGAGGCUAAGGCAGGUCUGGGCCUCUGGGUCCUCAGCCCAGACUCAUCCCACUCAUGUCCUUCCUGUUUCCCCUGCCAAAUCAAGUUUCCUGAAAUAAUUCUGCUCAUAAACUUUUAAGUGGCUUCCCACUUAUAAAAUACUCGAAUUCCAACAUCCCAACCUGGAAUUUAGAGAUCAUAACAAUCUGACCCCUAUGAAUCCCUCUCUCCAUCCCUUUUAUUCUUUUUUUAAUCAUGAGCCAGUCACGCCAAAUUUGAGUUUAUAUUUGAAAGCCAGUGAACUUGUCUUUGAUUCACUUCUACAUAAGCAGAAAAGUAAACAUAUAAUACUGGUGGGUGAUAAUGGGAAACCAGGCUGAGCUUUCAUACAUGAUGUGUUUCACCUAAGCUAAAAGUUAUAAACAAGAAUUUAUAAAUGUUUCAGUUAUUAAUACUUUUCUACAAAAGACAUUCUCCAGUUGUUUAGAAAAAAUAUUCAAACUAAGGUUUUGUUUUUAAAUUGUAU
rnacentral:lncRNA from 1 species